rnacentral:rRNA from 1 species
UACGUAGGGUGCGAGCGUUAAUCGGAAUUACUGGGCGUAAAGUGUGCGCAGGUGGCUUCGCAAGUCGAGUGUGAAAUCCCCGGGCUUAACCUGGGAAUUGCGCUCGAAACUACGGAGCUAGAGUGUGGCAGAGGGAGGUGGAAUUCCACGUGUAGCGGUGAAAUGCGUAGAGAUGUGGAGGAACACCAAUGGCGAAGGCAGCCUCCUGGGUCAACACUGACGCUCAUGCACGAAAGCGUGGGGAGCAAACAGG